UCCACUUUGCACCAAGUUUUGGGGAAUGGUCAGGAGCGAUACUCUGAAGUCAUCGUCUCUUUCCUAAAUAUUUCCGGUUCUUUAAUUUUUUUAAUAGAAUCUGUGGGAGUACCCUUUAACUGAUGUUGUAAUUUGACUGAUGAUUUGACUGAAGUACCAUUUUACAGGAAGAAAAGUUCCGCCAUAUGUAAAAUCUGAACCUAUUCCUGUGGAGAAUAAAGAACCUGUGAAAGUGGUGGUUGCGGAUACCCUUGAAGAGAUAGUUUUCAAAUCAGGGAGAAAUGUUUUGCUCGAGUUUUAUGCUCCCUGAUGUGGACAUUGUCAGAAAUUGGCACCAAUCUUGGAUGAAGUUGAUGUCCACUAUGAAAAGGAUGCUAAUGUUUUGAUCGCAAAACUUGAUGGAAGUGCAAAUGAUAUCGAGGAUCCAAACUUUGAUGUUAAAGGUUACCCAACCAUUUACUUUAGAUCGACCGAUGGAAACAUAGCCGCAUAUGAAGGUGAUUGGACCAAGGAAGACAUCAUCGACUUCAUUGAAAAGAACAGGGACAAAACUGUUCAUCAAGAAUCAGUAAACGUAACUGUU